CAGAAGUUUAUUCCACUCAAUAUACUCUUUUCAUAGUCGCAAUGAAGCUAUACAACUUGAAGGAUUACAAAAAAAUAUUGGAAGCUAUCAAGGAGGAAGUAUAAUGAUUAAAUGGAUUCAACUUCGCAGGUGUUCCUACUGCUCUCUAUUUUUCAUGGAUUAUGAAUAUGCUCAGGGAUCCUAUCCCAUUGAAGCUGUACCAUUUGAAGGACACACUGCAAAAAAAUACUGGAAGGCUAUCAGGCAAGAAGUACAAUGAUUCAUCUUCACAGGAUGUUUUUGCAAUAUAUUUAAAUUAUAUUGAAUAAAUGAUUUGAAAAGA